rnacentral:rRNA from 1 species
UACAGAGGGUGCGAGCGUUAAUCGGAAUUACUGGGCGUAAAGGGCGCGUAGGCGGUGUAUUAAGUUAGAUGUGAAAUCCCUGGGCUUAACCUAGGAACUGCAUUUAAUACUGGUACGCUAGAGUGCAGUAGAGGAUAGUGGAAUUUCCGGUGUAGCGGUGAAAUGCGUAGAGAUCCGGAGGAAGACCGGUGGCGAAGGCGGUCUGCUGGGCAGUUCUGGACACUUGAUGCGCGACAGCGUGGGGAGCAAACAGG